CCUACGGGUGGCUGCAGUGGGGAAUAUUGGGCAAUGGGCGCAAGCCUGACCCAGCAACGCCGCGUGAAGGAAGAAGGCUUUCGGGUUGUAAACUUCUUUUGACAGGGAAGAGCAGAAGACGGUACCUGUCGAAUAAGCCACGGCUAACUACGUGCCAGCAGCCGCGGUCAUACGUAGGUGGCAAGCGUUGUCCGGAUUUACUGGGUGUAAAGGGCGUGUAGCCGGGCUGACAAGUCAGAUGGGAAAUCCGGGGGCUCAACCCCCGAACUGCAUUUGAAAAUGUUGGUCUUGAGUAUCGGAGAGGCAGGCGGAAUUCCUAGUGUAGCGGUGAAAUGCGUAGAUAUUAGGAGGAACACCAGUGGCGAAGG
rnacentral:rRNA from 1 species